rfam:Chania multitudinisentens RB-25, complete genome.
UGGAUUAUGAGUAUAUGGGGAUGAAUCUCUUACAUUCAACGGCAAGAAUGUAUGGAAAAAGAAAUGGGGGAUAAAAUCCCCCAUUUUGCUAUUAACC